GACUUGUCGUCCAGCCCGCCCUCGUAGCACCACGCAUCGGCGCCGCCGUCGGCCACUCCCGCUCCUCCGCCGCCGCCGAACAUGAAGCGCAGCCACGCCGCGACGCCGCGCCCCGCGGGAGGCGGCGGCCCCCCGCCGCCGCGGUAGCGCUUGGCGCAGAGGAAGAUGUAGAAGCAGAGCACGAAGGUGAGGAACACCGCCGCCACGGCCGCCAGCAUCGUCGUCGCCGCCGCGACCGUCGUGGCCGUCACCGCCAUCGACGAUCGAUCGAUCGACCGACCAAUCAACCUCACGGCCUGCCCUGCCUUCCUUCCCCUUCCUCUGCCUUGGCUUCAAAGAACCUUGAAUUAUGCUCCUCCCUUACGCGAGCAGGAUCCUCUGCUGCUGGUGUACCCGUCUCCCCUGCUGCUGCAGCCGCGGGCUCCUCGGCGUCCCUGCCGCGAGGCUCUUUGAUGGCAUAAAUGUUAAAGCGCUCGGAGCGUUGGGGAUUUCGAAUGAUUAGCGCGCUACUUAUACGAGGGCGGCGCGGGAUUGGGGAGGAGGAUAAGACCCGGGCGAGAGAGGAAGGCUGGUCUGGCUUCGGUUUGGAGGGGAAGGUGAGCGAACCGUGGAGGCUGCGGCGCGGGCUAUGGCCCUGGAGGGAAAGCGAGGACGGCGACGGUUUUGAAAGCGUUGACGCGGUGCAAGUGGAGCUGUGGAAUGGAACCAGGCCUCCGCCUCUCCGGUUGGACCUCCCUCCCACGGCCGUCGCCGUCUAAUCCCCCGGCGAUGGCGCCGCCGAUGUUCUGUUCCGAUUCGCGCCGCUGCACGGUUGCACCGGAUGCAACGGCCCGGUGAGCCGCGACACCGACCGCAGCCACUGACACCCCGGGCCAGCUACAGAAUCGGCAUCCGCGGCGUGUCCCCUCCUCUGCGCCACUACGUGUCCUCUUCGCCAUGUUUCGUAGUACCAUCAAGUCAGUGAAACUGUAAUACUAACA
rnacentral:lncRNA from 1 species